rnacentral:rRNA from 1 species
AUUGAACGCUGGCGGAAUGCUUUACACAUGCAAGUCGAGCGGCAGCACGGGGGCAACCCUGGUGGCGAGCGGCGAACGGGUGAGUAAUACAUCGGAACAUGCCCAGUCGUGGGGGAUAACACUUCGAAAGAAGUGCUAAUACCGCAUACGUCCUGAGGGAGAAAGCGGGGGAUCUUCGGACCUCGCGCGAUUGGACCGGCCGAUGUCAGAUUAGCUAGUUGGUGGGGUAAAGGCCUACCAAGGCAACGAUCUGUAGCUGGUCUGAGAGGAUGAUCAGCCACACUGGGACUGAGACACGGCCCAGACUCCUACGGGAGGCAGCAGUGGGGAAUUUUGGACAAUGGGGGCAACCCUGAUCCAGCCAUUCCGCGUGAGUGAAGAAGGCCUUCGGGUUGUAAAGCUCUUUCGGCAGGAACGAAACGGCGAGCUCUAACAUAGCUUGCUAAUGACGGUACCUGAAGAAGAAGCACCGGCUAACUACGUGCCAGCAGCCGCCGUAAGAC